rnacentral:lncRNA from 10 species
AUUUUUAUUUGUUUGAAGUAAGAUGGUGAAAAUACUUCUGUUUUUAAAUUCCUGGAUCCUAAAUCACUGUCAAAGGGAGAAACAAUGUUUCUUUUGGUUCCUAGAGCACAACUUCUAGAAUUUAUUUAAAAGAUGUGUCUGUGUUUUGUGGUGGUCUGAGAAAAGAGAUUGGUGGCAUUUUUUUGUGCUUUUAUAACAUCGAGAACACAGCUUUCCUCAAUCAACUCCAUUUGAUGUGUCUCAUACAUUGUUGAGUACAUUCCCUCAGACAUGGCCCACGUUCCACAGCAUUUUCCCCAGCACUGCCCUGAUGUUUAUCCAAAACUCUGAACCCAGGCCAGGUGCAGUGGCUCACGCCUGUACUCCCAACACUUUAGGAAGUCCAGGAGGGAGAAUCACUUGAGGCCAGGAGUUUGAGACCAGCUUGGGCAACAGAGCAAGACCCUGUCUCUGCAAAAAUUACAAAAGUAGCUGGGCAUGGUGGCACAUGCCUAUAAUCUCAGCUAACUUGGGAGUCUGAGGUGGGAGGAUCGCUUGAGCAGUUGGAGGCUGCAAUGAGCUAGGAUCGCACCACUACACUCCAGGCUUGGUGAUAGAGCAGCCCGUAUCUCUUAAAAAACAAACAAAAAAAAGAGCCUGAACCUUAUCUUCAGAGACUAACUUCCCUUUAAGGUGCUAAAGGUAAUUUAUGAGAUCAGUCAAUCAAGAAAUAUUUAUGAAAUUGAGAAUGAGUCCCUCUGUCAAUUGAGUGCAUUCUCCUGUUUUCAUUCAGUAAAUAUUUACUGAGCUCCUCCGCGUGCCAGAUAGAAUUUCCAGUAAUGCUUUGCAAAGACCAUCGCACUGCAGUGGAUGAGCUGCAGCAGGCGCUCCACGCCCACUCUCCUCCUGGGCCUGCACUAGGUUUGCAGAGUGUGUGUUUAGGUCACCAGCUCCCCAUCCUGAAGAUAGCUCUGUACGAGGCACACUGUUGUUUGUUUGAACAUGAUCCUGGCAACAGUGUGAUCUGGGCCGUCUCUUUGAGGGCUUUCAGCAAUCGUGAGACCGUCUAGUAUAAGACAGAGCACGAAAGGCAUUUUUACUGCUGGCCUGAAGAAGUCAGUGAUUUAUAGUUCACUAAAACUGCACAAAAUGUGGAAAGGGUGGCUGAGGAAAACAUCCUGAUUUUGCUUGCUUUUAUAUAUGUUAUGUGUAGAUGAAUAAAGUGUUU